rnacentral:lncRNA from 1 species
AUCCAUCCAAAUCCAUAGAUCUAAGAUGCAAGGAAUGAAGGCCCUCUCUCUUGGGUGAUUAUCCUUUGCUUUUGCAAAGAGGAAUCUACAAAGGUAUAAAUUUCUCAACUCACUUUCUUUUUAAUUGAGUUUUGGUUCACCUAACUACUAGGCUUUGAAUUUCAUGGGUAAUGUUUUGUUUUGAGUGCAUGCAAGCAUGAUUCCGCCUUUAAUUUGUUAAUUGCAUGUUAUAGAUGUUGCUCAAAUGAACAUGUUUUUCACAAAAUUUCCUUCAAGUGGUAUCAGAGCCUAGGUCUAGUAGUUGGUGAAUCCUUUUGGGUUUUGUAGUUCAUAGUCUUUGAUUUAAAAGUUGUAAUAUGUUACAAACUUUAUUCUUGUUUCUUUGAAUGUAAAUUUUGUUAGAAAAUUUGCCAUCUCAAAUGUUGUAGAUGUAGUUCAUAUGAGCAUGAAUAUUGGAGCUAAAAAUUUGGUGCCAUGUUUUUGGGAAAAUUCGGCCAAAUCCAAAGGGUGGAUUUUUGGGUUCAUGUUUGACUUGUUAAAAGUGUUUUCAAGUAACUUUUGGAACCCCUAUGUACCUUAGUUCCUAGUUUGGUUAUAUGUUAUUUCCCUUAAGUUUGAAUGGUUUUGGGAUGUUUUUGGGUGAAAAAUGUUCAUGGAAAUUUUUGAGUUUUUCAUGAGUGUUCUUCAUUGUUCUUGACAUUUUUGCCAAGAACAAAAAGUUUGGUGUUUUGAUUCAAAGUUUUGAUUAAUUUCAUAAAGUUUAUGUUUUAUGUUUUUCAUAUGUUUAAAUGUAUUAGAUAUUUGUUUAGAAAGGUGAUGGAAUUAUUGGUGGGUGUGUAAGGAUUAAUUCCCUUUCACACACACCACUUGCACCACUUGCAUGCUUUAUGUCUAACUUACCAAUCACACACAUAUCACUCAUUUCACCUCUCCAAAACCGGCCACUCCCUCAAUGGGAGUACUUUUGGGGUUUUUAUGCAAUUACAUAAAGUUUUGAUACUUUUAUGUAUUUGCACUUUGGCCCAAAAGUUUACGUUUUUACGUUUGGGUCCAAAAACGCUAAAGGACAAAUUGUUUUGCUCCUUUAAUGAAGUUUUGCAUUUGUUGAAAUUUUUGGGUUUUAGUUGUAAUUACAUGAAGUAGUGGACUUUUGUGUUUUUACAAAGUGACUCCAAAAGUUUAUGUUUUUGCAAUAUAGCCCAAAAGUUGAGGUUAUUGCAUUUUGGCCCAAA